rnacentral:rRNA from 1 species
GACGAACGCUGGCGGCGUGCCUAAUACAUGCAAGUCGAACGCAGUGGGGACGGGUGAGUAACACCUGGGUAACCUCCCAUCAGAGGGGAUAACACUUGGAAACAGGUGCUAAACUGAUACUGAUUGAUGGACCCGCGGUGCAUUAGCUAGUUGGUGGGGUAACGGCUCACCAAGGCCACGAUGCAUAGCGGACCUGAGAGGGUGACAGGCCACACUGGGACUGAGACACGGGCCAGACUCCUACGGGAGGCAGCAGUAGGGAAUAUUGGACAAUGGACGAAAGUCUGACCGAGCAACGCCGCGUGAGUGAAGAAGGUUUUCGGAUCGUAAAGCACUGUUGUUAGAGAAGCGGUAUCUAACCAAAAAGCCACGGCUAACUACGUGCCAGCAGCCGCGGUAAUUC